UUUUGAAUGCGUGAAUAAAGAAGUAAGAUAAAAAGAAAAAAUAUAAGGAAAAUUGAUAACAUGGCAACACCCCUGCGCAGAGAAAGGAAGGUUAUGAGUAGAGAAAUACUUGAAUGAAAGAACAGACCCCUAAGAACCAAGCUUUUGUCUCUGCAUAUCAAUUAAACAUGAAUAACUAAACCCAUGCAUUAAACAACAAUAAACUAAAACUAGAGAUUUAACAACUACGAGACGGGAAUGCCAAAUGAAAACAAUAACUUACCAUUGAAACCAUAUUUUAUUACUCUUGCUUUGCGUAUAUCUUGAUUCAACAUGCCAAAUGCAUGUAUGUAGACUAUGUUUGUCGUCUCACUUUUCUUAUCAACGCCAACCUAUCAUCUGGUUAUAAAUUCCCUUAUUUGUUACCCUCUAAACCCUCUCUUCUCCUCC
rnacentral:lncRNA from 1 species